rnacentral:rRNA from 1 species
CGGAUCGCAGGCUGCAACUCGCCUGCGUGAAGUUGGAAUUGCUAGUAAUCGCGGAUCAGCAUGCCGCGGUGAAUACGUUCCCGGGUCUUGUACACACCGCCCGUCACACCAUGGGAGUCGGAAAUGCCCGAAGUCUGUGACCCAACCUACGGGAGGGAGCAGCCGAAGGCAGGUCGGAUGACUGGGGUGAAGUCGUAACAAGGUACC